rnacentral:lncRNA from 1 species
UCAUGUCUACAGAAGGGGAAUCUUAAAAUGAGUUACCAGCAGGAUGGAAAUUCAGGACAACAGAAACAGCUGGAUGUGUGAGAACGUCGGUCAUGAUCACACGGUAGAGGAAUCACACGGUGGAGGAAGCUGGGAUCAGGUGCAAGGCAACCUGCCUUCAUUCUUUCACUCGUAGAGGUUUCAGCUCAUUAAAAACUGCUGCGGAGAACACACAUUCUUGCUUAAAACA